ACUAUAUCAGUAGUUGUUUCAGUGCUCUGUUACAUUUUCUGUGAAGGAGAAUGCUGGAUGUAUACAAUCCUCUAACCAAAUGGUGUAGCAAUUAGUUGAAUACAUUUCUUGUUGUUAGGACUAGUCUCUAUUUUAUACUUUUUGAAGAACAAGAGAUGAGGCUAUACACACUACUUCUUGAAUACAUUCUAGGUAGAUCCAAACUUGAAAGAUACAGGCUCUAACCACUAGAUAGGGCUGCUGCCACCAGCUAACUGCUAGGAAGGAGAUCCACCCAUUGACAUCUACGGAGAACAUGGGCAUAAUGGCCCAGCCCUGCUGAAGGACGCACAGGAGACUCGGAGGAAUGGAGAAAAGAAAAAACAAAAACAAAACAAGGCAGCUAGAAGUAGACCAGGUGUCACAACAGCCUAACAUAUCAAGAACUGAAUAAGCUGGAGGCCCAGCUGCUUUGCUUCAUGUGAGGAUUUCAGCAACCCAAAUCCCAUCCUGUCCUAGCUGUUCAUUGCCCGGACCUGCAGGAGCUAAAAGUAUCACAGAAGCAGCACUGUCGACCUCAGGCAAGUGAGAUUCUUUUAUUGCUUUUGUAGUAACCUUUUCUGGCUCGCUUUAAAGCAGUGCAUUCCAGUGGAAGCUGUUCCUUUUUUCUGUGUGAGAAAGGGUCCAACUCUAUUACCCCUUUGUCUACCUCCUAUGUCAGAACACAGUUUAUAGAGAUUAACUCCCCUAGGCCUUCCCCUCCCAUCCACUGUUAAGUGUUCAGUGCCUUCCCCCAGGGAUGUGAAUCUCCCACUCCCAAAAUGUGAGACUCUAAAAGCACUAUCAUGUAUUUUUACCCCUCCUCUGCCAAUUUAGAAUUUUAAUAGGAGAAACUGCCUAGGCUUUCUAGUGAAAUCAGACCCUGUGUUCUAAAUGAAGGUGACCAGAUGUCUCAGUUUAGUUACAGUCUGGUGUUUUGAGAGGAAUCAAGACACUGAACUACCCCAGAUUGCCAAUCUCAUCUGUACAGAUGGCCGACUUUGAAAUCCUGCCCCACCUCCAUUGCAUGUGAGAUGCAGAUCAGCAAAAUGUGCUGCAAUCAGCAAGAGACAAAACCUCUUCAAGUCAUACUCCUAACCCCCCCCCCAAAAAACGGUCCCUCUGCGGGCCCCUCUGAUAACAAUGGGAAUUCUUUAGGGAGCCAAUGAUGAAACUCCUUAUAAAGGGAUACACUGCUCUCUCACUCCAGCUGCUGUUUCAGUAGCAAAACAAGGGGGGGGGGGAUUUGGUUACUUUCAUCUAAAUCCUUUUAGUGUGAAUGCAAAGGGUGAGCAUUCACUCUUGCUUCACACUCCCUUACUUCUCCAUCAAUGCAUUUAGUCUUGGGGGUUGGGAGGUAACACAUAUUAUUGGUGACGAUUUAUUGUAGAUUUAUUUGACCAUUUCAUCCUACAGCCUUAUAGAAACAAGAUACUCUUUCGAUAAAAUGUGGUGAGAACGUAACAAGUGAAAUAAACACAGCAGCAUAGCAAGUAAUGUCUUGAAAAAAAAUCUUCCUGCCUUCUUUGUGGUGGUUUCCCUGGAAGACACUGACUGUUUCAUAUUCUAAAAAGCCAGAUGAGCAGCAUGAAGUCAUUAGUCACCCAGGUAUUUACAGUGUUUUUCCUAUUUCCUUUCUCCCAUGGCCUCUGCGGUCAGCAGUAUAAAAUUCCUAGGAACUCCCACCUAAACACAAGUUUCCUGUUUAUGCUCCCAAUGGCUUUUAUGUUUAGCUGUUAAAAGCCAUUGACUAAAGUACCAUAAAAAGAAUAUGAAGAGAGACUGCAGGUGAGCAGAAAAAAACAUGACAGAGUUACUUCUGUAUUCAUUUUUAUUUGGGAACAGGGACAAAAGCGUAAAAGGAACAAAGAUACCAGUUAACGAAUGCAUUAUUGCCUCCGAUGAACCAGGCUACAGAGACAGCAUUGCCUUUCUGCUAUAGCUUGUCAUCCAAAAUUUGCUGUUUUUCUUGAUCUCAAACUAAAAAUUAAUGGUACAAGUGAUCAUGACUUGAUCACAUUUAUAAUGUGUAAGCAGAAU